rnacentral:rRNA from 1 species
CGAACGCUGGCGGCGUGCUUAACACAUGCAAGUCGAACGGAAAGGCCCUGCUUGCAGGGUACUCGAGUGGCGAACGGGUGAGUAACACGUGGGUGAUCUGCCCUGCACUUCGGGAUAAGCCUGGGAAACUGGGUCUAAUACCGGAUAGGAGCCAUUUUUAGUGUGAUGGUUGGAAAGGUUUUUCGGUGUAGGAUGAGCUCGCGGCCUAUCAGCUUGUUGGUGGGGUAAUGGCCUACCAAGGCGGCGACGGGUAGCCGGCCUGAGAGGGUGGACGGCCACAUUGGGACUGAGAUACGGCCCAGACUCCUACGGGAGGCAGCAGUGGGGAAUAUUGCACAAUGGGCGCAAGCCUGAUGCAGCGACGCCGCGUGGGGGAUGACGGCCUUCGGGUUGUAAACUCCUUUCGCUAGGGACGAAGCUUUUUGUGACGGUACCUAGAUAAGAAGCACCGGCUAACUACGUG